UAUUAGUAACGUUUGGUUUGUUUAGUUCAAGACAACCCCGGUUUUGUAAUUUCAAAAUUAACAAUCAUUCUCUCUGGUUCGGUUUUUGUUUACUAAUAAAUGGGCUUUUUCUAAAGCCUACGAAAUAUAAAUUUUUGUUUACGGUGAUUAUAGUUUCUUCAAUAUUAAAAGCCCAAAAGUAAAAGUCACUAAAUUCGUCAUAAUCCACAGCAAAAUCUAUAGAUUUCUUUCUUAAUAAAAAGUUAUAGUCCACAGCAAAAUCUAUAGAUUUCUUUCCUGAUAAAAAGUCAUAGUCCACAAAAAAAUCUUGACUUUGAAAUUAGUCAUAAUCCACAGCGAAAUCUAUAGAUUUCUUUCUCUAAAAGAACAUGGAUUUCAAUUAUUUAUAUUAAUCUUUUACACUUGAUAAUCGAAUAAUUUCAUUGAGCAUGGCCAAUUAGAUUUCAAGUUCAGGGUUCUCCACUUGAUACUCAUCGAUCAUUAGACUAUCGAAUUCAUCAUCUCCGAACCUGAACGUUUCAGUCGUCACCAAUCAAAAACACUUCCACCUUCUUCUCUGAUCAUAAUAAUCUUAGGAAAACAUGGUGGAGCUCUAUUGUAUCUGUGGAAAAUGGAUACAAAAUGACAGGGCUCAAUGGGAGUUUGUAGUAGAUACCACAAGACUGGGGUCACUCUCUGAGAUUGAUCAAAACGUUCCUUUCAAUGUUUUAGUUACGACUGUUACCGAAGAUUUGGAUGUCCCUGAUAAAGACAUUGCACUCAGCUAUGGAGUUCCACUGGAUGCGAGAUGUGCGAAACCCAUGAUACAGAACACUCCACCGGUCGAUAUACGGAACGAUCGCCAACUAAGAGCUUACAUGAACAAGAUCAAAGAAGAAGGUGAUAGGCGUCGCAAUCCUCCGUGUAUUCCUUUGUGUGUAGCUCUAUUUGACAAACCCAAACCCAGAUUCAGCUGUUCAUUGGGAAGAUUGUUUUCUAAGGAGCCAUGAACUUUCAAAUUUGGUUGAAAUAAAACCUCAGUUUUUAUUCAGACCAAAAAAUAAUCAUUCAAUUUUUGUUGACAUGCUAUUUUAAUCAUAAACUUUCGUUGACCA